UCCUUGCUGCUUGCCAGACUGGAGAGGAGAGGGACUGAUCACAGCAAAGUACUUGAGUGGAGGUGCCCUCUGUCAUGGAAAAGUCUCACAAAGUGCCCCAUCUUCCAAGUGAUUUCAUCUGUAUUUCAUACGCUUUUAAAGGGACUGGCAUGUUCUCUUUACUGGUUGGUCUGACAAGAGGAAACCGCACUGCUCCUGUUGCACUCCACUCAUAGAGCUACUCCUGUUGAUCAAAGGGAGUGGUGUGUAUGGUGCUGAUGGGUCUAACCCUGUUGGUAGCACCCACAAUUCUCCUAAAAAGGGACCAUGUGCAUCUGGGUGUUUAGGAUUUUGAAAGCAUCAUAGCUUGCUGCCAAAGACGCUUUUGUCUGAAUGGAAGCUGAGACCGAAGAACAACUGAGACAUCUGUCUAUUUGCCCCGCCACCCACCAUUGACUAAUAUUUGCACACAGAACCUCACAUUUUGGGUAAAACUGCAUUAGAUCAUGAUAACAUAGGCAUUCUAUAGGUCCCCAUGGCAUUUUUUAAGCACCCAGCAACGUUCUAGACAGAGCCUUUACAUCAGAACUAGAACUGGUCAGAAAACCAAAAUUUUUCACCCCAAGAAACUUUUGUUCAAAAAACCUUUAUUUGAAAACUUUCUGUUGAAAAAUAUUAGUUUUCCCAUGGGACGUUUUGAAUCAAUUCGAAUGAUUUUCAUUUCAAACCAACAUUUUGAAACAAAACAACCCGGGGCUCAAAUGAAACAAUGUUUGAAAUCAAAAUGGAAGAAAAGGUUUCAUUUCAAAAUGUCGAUUUGAAACAGAAAUGUUCAUUUAGAAAUUUCCCUUGGGAAAACUGAAAUUUUCCAUCAGAACUGACAUGUUUCUGCCAAUGUUAUUGUAGCUGUGUCAGUCCCUGUAGAAGAGCUCUGUGUAAACCCGAAAGCUUGUA